CCCCAAGGAACCACCUUUCUGAGAGGCCACCCUGGAAUCUAGCUGACUUACAAGCUGCCCUGAAGUGAAGAAGUGAUGCUGUUUAUUAUGAUGAGCUUUGGAUUCAGUUUUCAAAGAUACAAUGAGACAUUUGGGAUAUACAUUCAUUUGGUUAACAUUAAAUUAAAGAUCAAGCCAGCAUUUUGAAGAUGGAAGGUGGCAGAGGGAAGGAAUCAUCACAUACUCCAUGAAUAGUCUUCCACAGUUUCGAUAACUCAAUCUGCUGAUAUUCCAACACUUUCCAAAGACCUGGUUGCUGACAGAAAAUCUUUAGAAUCUUCUGAGAAAUGCGGACCACUUCUCGAACUCAUCACUAAGCCAGAAGCCCUGGAAUUUUGGCCAAUGAAAUUUUCUCCAUGGGAAAUUAAGUGCUCCUUAGUGAAGAGUCCUGACUAAAGAGUCUUGACAUAAGCUACUCCAUUUUAUAAGUGACUUCAUUUUGUAAAAGACAGAUCACAUCAAGAAGUUACAAGAGUUACAAAAAUUUAACCAACACAGUUGCCAGGGCUGGCCAGAUGCUCCUGGCCAGUGGAAGGUGGAUGGCUUGCCCACUCAGUGGUCAGGAGUGUCACUCCACCUAGAAGAAACCGGUCCAAAUGGUUGGUGAACAAGUUGGUUGCAGUGAAGGUCAGGUCAUAUCUAGGUCCAUUCUGCACACGGCCCAGUCUGUGCAUGGCCUGCUCUGCACACGACCCCAUUCCUGUGUAUAAAAGAAGAAUGAACUUGUACUUUGGGGUCUCCACCUGCGAGUGUGAGACCCCAGCAUGCUGGCUACCCAAUAAACACUCUUGCUUUGGCAUCCAUGCAUCUCCCGGUUAUUUGGAGGUCGAUUGCAUGGACCCAACACUUAGUAAGACUGAACUACUACAUAUUACAUGAAAAAGUAUUGCUAUGAUAUAAUAUGGCCUGGUGGACCUGGAUAAAGAAAAUGCCCAAAUCUUUUCAAUGUGUGCUUUUUGUUUUUGCUAAUUAAAUGAAGGACAGAAUCUGCUGAAAAGGUAGUGCUCUCACUGCAGUUCAGUGGACCCCGGAAAGGCAGCAUGGAAGGCAAGCAAGGCCUAGAGGACACACAUGCAGCACCUCUGAAGGGUGGUUCUGAGCGGCAAACCACAUUUGUGACACCAGAUAACCUCAAAGGAAACAGAGCUGAAAGGUAGGGAAGGAGGCAAAGGGCACUGGGGACAAGAGCCAGCAAGCUCACUAGGUAAAUUUGAUUACUACUUAUAAGUAAUACUAUUAUAUUCUGUUUUCAAAAGAAAUUGUUCAAAGCAUCUGAUAAUUGAAGAAUGAAAUUUUUUUUACAGAAAUGAAAAGCCAUCUAAUUAAAAUUAUUGAUAUGUAAGUUUAAAAUACCACAAUGAUCCAAAUCUCUUUAAAUUCAAAGACUUUGUAAUUAAAAACACUGGCUCUAACAAGUGAAUCUAAAAGGGUGUUUUAGGUGGACAUUGUAAACAAGCAUUUUCAGCUGCUCUUUUUAUGUGCAGAGAGAGGAAUGGCCUGAGGAUACCAGGCCUGAA